GGAACCCGAGGCGAGAGAUCACCUCGCGGCGGAGCGGGGGAGGGACAUCUCCUCCCCCCAGCACACGGCCUGUCCUCGGCUCCCCUCCGCCGGGCACGCGGCGGAGGCGGCGGCCCGCGAAGGUGGUCUCGCUUUAUUGCAAGGGCAAACCUGCUGAUGCGCCGCCGCCUCCGCCGGGGCAGGCGAACCUGGCCGGCAGCACCGAGGCGGGGGCGUUUGGGGAGGGAGGAGGUCGUAGGGGAGAGCCGAGCACGUAAAGAUAGAAGCAGGCGUGGCAGGAGGGAGCCUGAGCUUUCCGGUGGAACACAUGACAGCAGGGACCUGCUCCAGGUAACUGAAGGGGGCCAUGUAGAGAGGACACGCAGGAGGGCCUCUGCCAGGCUCAUAAAAAGUGGGUUCAUUGAAAGGGGGAAAUUUCACACUAUGGUUCCUUUUCUCUCCAGCGCAGCCCUCUACUUUCAGGCACACUGGUCUAGAAUAUGCUCCUUACAUUUUUCAGAAGCUUUUGUAAUUUUUCCAGAACAUAAUCUCAAACUAACAUAA
rnacentral:lncRNA from 1 species